rnacentral:tRNA from 2 species
GGCACUUUGGCGGAGUGGUUAACGCGCUGGCCUGCUAGUCCCAUGGGAAAGCCAGCCAGUUCCUUCGGGAGCGAGAGUUCGAAUCUCUCAGGUGUCG